rnacentral:rRNA from 1 species
UACGUAGGCAGCAAGCGUUGUUCGGAGUUACUGGGCGUAAAGGGUGUGUAGGCGGUUGGAUAAGUGUGGUGUGAAAUCUCCCGGCUUAACUGGGAGGGUGCGCUACAAACUGUCUGACUAGGGUAUGGGAUGGGAGAGUGGAAUUCCUGGUGUAGCGGUGAAAUGCGUGGAUAUCAGGAGGAACACCGGUGGUGUAGACAGCUUACUGGACCAUUUCUGACGCUGAGACACGAAAGCGUGGGUAGCAAACAGG